rnacentral:rRNA from 1 species
GACGAACGCUGGCGGCGUGCUUAACACAUGCAAGUCGAACGGAAAGGCCCUGCUUUUGUGGGGUGCUCGAGUGGCGAACGGGUGAGUAACACGUGAGUAACCUGCCCUUGACUUUGGGAUAACUUCAGGAAACUGGGGCUAAUACCGGAUAGGAGCUCCUGCUGCAUGGUGGGGGUUGGAAAGUUUCGGCGGUUGGGGAUGGACUCGCGGCUUAUCAGCUUGUUGGUGGGGUAGUGGCUUACCAAGGCUUUGACGGGUAGCCGGCCUGAGAGGGUGACCGGCCACAUUGGGACUGAGAUACGGCCCAGACUCCUACGGGAGGCAGCAGUGGGGAAUACUGCACAAUGGGCGGAAGCCUGAUGCAGCAACGCCGCGUGCGGGAUGACGGCCUUCGGGUUGUAAACCGCUUUCGCCUGUGACGAAGCGUGAGUGACGGUAAUGGGUAAAGAAGCACCGGCUAACUACGUGCCAGCAGCCGCGGUGAUACGUAGGGUGCGAGCGUUGUCCGGAUUUAUUGGGCGUAAAGGGCUCGUAGGUGGUUGAUCGCGUCGGAAGUGUAAUCUUGGGGCUUAACCCUGAGCGUGCUUUCGAUACGGGUUGACUUGAGGAAGGUAGGGGAGAAUGGAAUUCCUGGUGGAGCGGUGGAAUGCGCAGAUAUCAGGAGGAACACCAGUGGCGAAGGCGGUUCUCUGGGCCUUUCCUGACGCUGAGGAGCGAAAGCGUGGGGAGCGAACAGGCUUAGAUACCCUGGUAGUCCACGCUGUAAACGGUGGGUACUAGGUGUGGGGUCCAUUCCACGGGUUCCGUGCCGUAGCUAACGCUUUAAGUACCCCGCCUGGGGAGUACGGCCGCAAGGCUAAAACUCAAAGGAAUUGACGGGGCCCCGCACAAGCGGCGGAGCAUGCGGAUUAAUUCGAUGCAACGCGUAGAACCUUACCUGGGUUUGACAUGGAUCGGGAGUGCUCAGAGAUGGGUGUGCCUCUUUUGGGGUCGGUUCACAGGUGGUGCAUGGCUGUCGUCAGCUCGUGUCGUGAGAUGUUGGGUUAAGUCCCGCAACGAGCGCAACCCUUGUUCACUGUUGCCAGCACGUUAUGGUGGGGACUCAGUGGAGACCGCCGGGGUCAACUCGGAGGAAGGUGGGGAUGACGUCAAGUCGUCAUGCCCCUUAUGUCCAGGGCUUCACGCAUGCUACAAUGGCUGGUACAGAGAGUGGCGAGCCUGUGAGGGUGAGCGAAUCUCGGAAAGCCGGUCUCAGUUCGGAUUGGGGUCUGCAACUCGACCUCAUGAAGUCGGAGUCGCUAGUAAUCGCAGAUCAGCAACGCUGCGGUGAAUACGUUCCCGGG